AGUGAACGUUGGCGGCGUGGAUUAGGCAUGCAAGUCGAGCGAGAACCGUAGCAAUACGGGGACAGCGGCGAAAGGGACAGUAAUGUGUAGGUACCUACCUCCGGGUUCGGGAUAGCUGCGGGAAACUGCAGGUAAUACCGAAUAACGUCUCCGGACCAAAGGUGUGAUUCCACCUGGAGAGGGGCCUGCAUCCUAUUAGCUUGUUGGCGGGGUAACGGCCCACCAAGGCGACGAUGGGUAGCGGGUGUGAGAGCACGACCCGCGCCAUUGGGACUGGGACACUGCCCAGACACCUACGGGUGGCUGCAGUCGUGAAUCUUCGGCAAUGGGCGCAAGCCUGACCGAGCGACGCCGCGUGCGGGAUGAAGGCCUUCGGGUUGUAAACCGCUGUCGUAGAGGAGGAAAUGCAGGGGGGUUCUCCCCUCUGUUUGACCUAUUCUAGGAGGAAGUACGGGCUAAGUUCGUGCCAGCAGCCGCAGUAA
rnacentral:rRNA from 1 species